GUGGGGAAUAUUGGGCAAUGGGCGAAAGCCUGACCCAGCAACGCCGCGUGAAGGAAGAAGGUUUUCGGAUCGUAAACUUCUAUCCUUGGUGAAGAUAAUGACGGUAGCCAAGAAGGAAGCCCCGGCUAACUACGUGCCAGCAGCCGCGGUAAUACGUAGGGGGCAAGCGUUGUCCGGAAUGAUUGGGCGUAAAGGGCGCGUAGGCGGCCCGGUAAGUCUGAAGUGAAAGUCCUGCUUUUAAGGUGGGAAUUGCUUUGGAUACUGUCGGGCUUGAGUGCAGGGGAGGUAAGCGGAAUUCCCGGUGUAGCGGUGAAAUGCGUAGAGAUCGGGAGGAACACCAGUGGCGAAGGCGGCUUACUGGACUGUAACUGACGCUGAGGCGCGAAAGUGUGGGGAGCAAACAGGAUUAGAAACCCCAGUAGUCC
rnacentral:rRNA from 1 species